AUGGAUGGCCGGGGCUUCAAACCAGGGGGCCAAGAAAGCCGGCCGGCGGCGGCCGGGGCGGGCGCGGAGAGGGCCGAUGCGGCGGCCGCGGGCUGGGCGGCGGCGGCCAAGGCCAGGGAGGACGAGCAGCAGCAGCAGCAUCGUCUCCAUGGACGCGGCGGCGUGACGGCUUCCAGGCACGGAUCCCCUCCUCCACCUCCAUCCUCCACCUCUCCGGUCGCCCGGUUGCAAUGCAGCUCCUUCCUACCUUCCAUGGACGAGCUUGACGGAGACGCCGUCCAGCCUGACCACGGCUACGACUACCCCACGCACAAGGUCCCUUCCUGCCCCCCACCUUCUUCCAUGGUUCAAGACGCUACAUACACUGCUGCUGUUGUUUGUCAAAUUCAUUCCACUGAAGCCAUCUGCUUCGUCCACCAACCCGCCCAAAAAGGUAGUUAUUGUGAAUUGAUGUUCGCACUGAGGCCGGAGGCGAUAGGCGAGGGCACGAAGGUCGGCGGCAAGUGCUCAGGAGAUAAGAGGAAGGCGGCGGUGGCUGCGGUUUACACGAGAGCGAGGUGA
rnacentral:rRNA from 1 species